GCUGCUGUAGCUCAGUGGCUAGAGCGUUGGUCUCGUAAACCAAGGGUCGCGAGUUCGAAUCUCGUUGGCGGCA
rnacentral:tRNA from 1 species